GGGGCUGACCGGAAUUGACAGGAAAGUAUGUUCGGUUUGUAAGCAUGCAGGAGUAUGAUAGUUUCCUCCUUUAACAAAUGGCUAUUAAACCAUAAUUGGCGAUUCUAACUUCGCAAUUGCAGCUUAAUCUAGUAGAUUAACAAGCAUUCAUGCAAUUCACUUGAUAUCUGAUACAAAGUGAUGUCGCAUGUCAACAAACAUUCAGGUAAGGAAGAUAAUAGGUCUCGAUGAUCUUCCGAGAUUCAGAGAAUAAGGUUGAUAUUUGGUGUGUUUUUCCACUUGUUUCAACUCGAAAAUCUAAUGAAAAAAUAAGCAUGUAGAAAGCUCUCAGGCGCUAUCUCUGGACGAGGGUUCGAAUCCCUCCAGCUCCACCU
rnacentral:tmRNA from 2 species